rnacentral:rRNA from 1 species
GACAGAGGGUGCAAACGUUGUUCGGAAUUACUGGGCGUAAAGCGCGUGUAGGCGGCUAAGUAAGUCGGGCGUGAAAUCCCACGGCUCAACCGUGGAAGUGCACUCGAAACGGCAUAGCUAGAGUCCUGGAGAGGAAGGUGGAAUGCUUGGUGUAGAGGUGAAAUUCGUAGAUAUUCGGAAGAACACCAGUGGCGAAGGCGACUUACUGGACGAUUGUUGACGCUGAGGUGCGAAGGCGUGGGGAGCAAACAGG